CAAUAGCGUAUAUUUAAGUUGUUGCAGUUAAAAAGCUCGUAGUUGGAUUUCUGGUGGGAGCGAUCGGUCUGGCGCUUAGCGCGAGUACUUGCAUCGUCUCCGGGCAUCCUUGGGGAGAGUCUGUCUGGCAUUAAGUUGUCGGGCAGAGGAUCCUCAUCGUUUACUGUGAAAAAAUUAGAGUGUUCAAAGCAGGCUUAUGCCGUUGAAUAUAUUAGCAUGGAAUAAUAAGAUAGGACUUUGGUACUAUUUUGUUGGUUUGCGCACCAAAGUAAUGAUUAAUAGGGACAGUUGGGGGUAUUCGUAUUCCGUUGUCAGAGGUGAAAUUCUUGGAUUUACGGAAGACGAACUACUGCGAAAGCAUUUACCAAGGAUGUUUUCAUUAA
rnacentral:rRNA from 1 species